UACGGAGGAUGCGAGCGUUAUCCGGAUUUAUUGGGUUUAAAGGGUGCGCAGGCGGAGGUGCAAGUCAGCGGUCAAAUUGCGGGGCUCAACCCCGUACUGCCGUUGAAACUGCAUCCCUUGAGUGCGCGAGAAGUAUGCGGAAUGCGUGGUGUAGCGGUGAAAUGCAUAGAUAUCGCGCAGAACCCCGAUUGCGAAGGCAGCCUGCCGGCCCCACACUGACGCUGAGGCACGAAAGCGUGGGUAUCGAACAGG
rnacentral:rRNA from 1 species